ACGAUAACAUUAACAAGGAAUUUCAACGGAAAACAUUUUGGGUCUCUCCAAAUCCAUGCAGAGCUACACAAUCCUGUUGACACGAUCUAUGUAAAUAAAGGUCUAAAGACUGAUUUAACAAGUACAACAUUCAGCUUAUUGCUGAUUUUCUACUACUGCUGUUAAUUGU